ACCCGGAGCUAGCACCUGACUAGCGAGGUUUAUUCCAAGAUUUCUGUCUAAAAAAUCAACGUGGCCUCAAAGCGUAUUCGGAGCGAUCGCCGGUCGGCACACGAUCUCCACGCCGCGGAUGAGCAAAUAAACCAGCCGAUUAAGGCGGCGUUAGCGCUGAAAGCUAACACGUUACAAAGAAGCACCAUCGCUAGCAAAAACUGCUACCAGCCAGCCGAGCGAGCGAGCGAGCGAACCUCCGCUGGACAAAAAAAAAAAAAGAAAAAAAAAGAGAGAAAAAAAACAACUCCCAAACACCGCGAUCGCGUCUCAAAGACUAAAGAAGAAGCGUUUGAAUGUGAAGGAAACCGACGAAUGGGAGAAGGGCAAAAUUAAAAGGUUGUUUCCAAACCUGCUUGUGGAGCGGCGGAAGAAGAAAUAAACAAGCAAAAAAAAACCGAGACGAGGGAUGCCUGCGGUACUGCUUCGCCUCAGAAAUGCCUUGUCCAGAACGAGGGGAGAAAGGAGGAAAUUCAUGUACCAGAUGUGGAGACAAAAGUAUUCGACAUCCAAAUACAGUUCGGCGCAUAAAGUCCGCACGGACUCUUACUUUUUGCAAAGAAAGGAAUGCUGCAGGAGAGUGGUGUCAUUCCUCAGCAGGGUUGCAGCACACUUGACCGGCGAGGGGAUCCAUCACGUCAAAGAAGUCUCCUCCUGACGUUUGCACGGUAAACCCUGCGGUCAUCACCUGCGUCGCAGGUUCCGCUGAUCCCGAAGGCCGGCAUGAGUUGACCGGACUCGCCCCGUGCUGACGUCCCAUCGUAGGGAAAAAGCGCCUCCAUCUGCCCUGGGAGAUCUUCUGGUACACAGAAAUUGAAACACCCGUCUCACUUCAUUGCCAUCAUUAAGCGCGCCAUCGGCUUGUUUUUCGAAGCCUCGAGGAUUUCGCUCGGCGAUGAGCUCCCGCAAAUACCUGGGCUGCGCUCGGCCGCCGAUUCGGGGAUCCGACCGGGCUGCGCGGAAGCGCCGCCGGGAGGAUGCGGGAGGCGGGAGAGUGGAGGGCGGGGGUCAAAGCAGAAGAGACGACCAGGGGGAGGAUCGGCAAAUCUGAAAUGUCACGGUGCACAUAAGAGGAUUGUGAGAAGAGUCUCCUCCCUGUGGAGCAGCUAAGAGGGGAGAAAAAAAAAAAAAAGGACGACGUUCAUUUUAAGUGCAGCCAACCGCAAUGUGGGUGCGCUGAUGCUUGGCUCUGUCGCUGGAGUUGCUGAAGGCCUUGAAACAUCCUGGAUGCUGGCACGGGUACGGCUUCUCUCCAGUGUGACUGCGCAGGUGGAUCUUUAAGUUUUCCAGUCGAGAGAAGGCCUUCUUGCAGCCCUUGAACUGUGAGGAAAGAAAAGAAAAGGGGGAAAAAAAAGAUUGCUGCUUUAAUCAUGCAUGCAUCUUAGCCGCGACCUGCCACUCAUCCCCCAGCAAAAUCAUCUGAGCUUUUAGCAACUAACGUUUCCAAGGGGGCAGUAUUGGCACACCAAUUGCUUGUCAGCCGUGGGAGUUGAUGGAGAAACUCAGCAACAGCCUUCCACAUUCUAAUGAGAUCCAAUACGACGCUGUCAAAGAGGGAUCCAUUUAGGCCAUCCUGGGUGUCAGGACAGACCGAUUCCCUUGGAAGUUAAACUGCAACAGUCACUUAAG